rnacentral:rRNA from 1 species
GAGCACGUAGGUGGGUUUGUAAGUCAGACGUGAAAGCCUUCUGUUCAACGGAAGAAUUGCAUCUGAAACUACAAACCUUGAGUGUAGGAGGGGAGAAUGGAACUUCUGGUGGAGCGGUGAAAUGCGUAGAUAUCAGAAGGAACGCCGGCGGCGAAAGCGAUUCUCUGGCCUAUUACUGACACUCAGUGUGCGAAAGCUAGGGGAGCAAACGGGAUUAGAUACCCCGGUAGUCCUAGCCGUAAACGAUGGGCACUAAGUAGAGGG